rnacentral:rRNA from 1 species
UACGUAGGGAGCAAGCGUUGUCCGGAAUCAUCGGGCGUAAAGCGCGCGUAGGCGGCCCCGUAAGUCCGCUGUGAAAGUCAAAGGCUCAACCUUUGAAAGCCGGUGGAUACUGUGGGGCUAGAGUACGGAAGAGGCGAGUGGAAUUCCUGGUGUAGCGGUGGAAUGCGCAGAUAUCAGGAGGAACACCAAUAGCGAAGGCAGCUCGCUGGGACGUUACUGACGCUCAUGCACGAAAGCGUGGGGAGCAAACAGG